rnacentral:misc_RNA from 1 species
UCAGAAGUAGCAAUUUUGGCCAACUUUGCCAGAUAAUUAUGAUCAACAUCUCCUUUAUCCAGAGCUUGAAUUGCCACUGACAUCACUUGAAACAAACCAGCUAUAUUCCCAAACCUCCGUCUUCCACCUCUUGAUACUGUUAGGCAACAAUCAAGAACCAGAAGUGGAUUUAAGAAAGUUAUCUCCUUUAGAGCAGCCAUUGAUGCUUCUCGUACAAUAAGUGAAUCAUCCGCCAAUGAGGACACCAGAACUUGAACUGCCUCGGCGGCAGGAACAGAGUUGCCGGAGCUAGAAGACGCCAUGAAUUUAGGAAGGGGAUAACAGAG